rnacentral:rRNA from 1 species
AUGACGAAGGCGAGCCCGGCCGACGCGGUGAGCGAAGGGAUCCGAAGGCUCACCUAUCUAUCCCUCGUCUCCAAGGUCUCCUCGGAGCUGGAGGCCCACCUCGGCGACGUCCAACGCAACGUCGCCGAGUUCAUCGUCCACCUCGGCCGCGCCUCCCCCUCCGUCGCUGAGUUCGACGCCAAGCUCAAGGACCACGACUUCGUGGUGCCGGACUACCUCGCCCGCACCCUCCACACCGUCAUCCACGCCAUCCCCGACGCCGCUCCCGCUCCCGCUCCCGCCCCCGCCCCCGCCCCCGCCCCCGCCCCCCGAAACCCCACCGCCGAUGGCCUCAGUACCGGCACCAGGAGCCCUGAUGACAAGGAGGAGGAGGAGGAGGAGGAUGGGGCCGGGGGUCCGGAGCUUCACCAGGUGUGCCACGGGACGGUCAUCCGGGUGGUGGACGCCGGGUGCUUCGUCCGCCUCGACGGGGCGCGCGGCCGCGAGGGGCUAGUCCACACCUCCCGGAUGCCCGCCUCCGUGAAGCGCGGCCAGGAGGUGUUUGUCAAGGUCGUGUCCGUGCAGUGGGGCAAUCUGGAAUUGUCGAUGGCGGACAUCGAUCAGGAAACUGGAAGGGCGCUCCCGCCACCACGGCGCGAUGGUCAGGACGCUGUUCGGAGGGCGAAUCGAUCUGCUGAUCCUGCCGGAACCUCUGGGAAGAGGAUUGGGCUGUCUGGAAUUGUGAUUGAGGAGGACGGUGCUCGGCCUGCACCACGAAGGCCGGUCAGGCGAAUGAGCUCCCCGGAGAGAUGGGAACUGAAGCAGCUGAUUGCUUCGGGGGCACUGAAUGUGAGAGACUGCCCUGCGUUCGAUGAUGAUGAUUGGGGGAUACAUUACCAGGAAGAAGAAGAAGUGGAGGAGGAGCUCGAGAUUGAGCUUAACGAAGAUGAGCCGCCGUUCUUAUCUGGACAGGGCCGGUCCUCGAUUGACUUGUCCCCGGUGAGGAUUUCCAAGAACCCUGAGGGGUCACUGAGCCGAGUGGCGGCACUGCAGACUGCGCUUGUCAAGGAGCGGCGUGAUAUCCGUAGCCAGGAGCAGAGAGCAUUGCUUGAUUCCAUCCCCAAGGAUCUGAAUCGGCAGUGGGAGGAUCCUUUACCUGAUGCAGGUGGGCGGUGCCUUGCACAGGAAAUGAGGGGCGCCGGCUUAUCAGCACAGAGCAUGCCGGACUGGAAGAAACAGGCUUAUGGGAAGACAGGAACAUUUGGGAAGAGGUCGAGCCUUCCAAUACAGGAGCAGAGGCAGCACCUUCCCAUUUACCGGCUGAAGAAUGAGCUUAUCAAAGCUCUACAUCACCAUCAAGUUUUGGUUGUUAUCGGGGAGACAGGGUCAGGGAAAACUACGCAGGUUACUCAGUACCUUGCUGAGGCAGGCUAUACUGAAGGUGGGAAAAUUGCGUGUACGCAGCCUCGCAGGGUUGCUGCGCAGUCUGUUGCAAAGCGGGUAGCAGAGGAGUUUGGUUGUCCAUUGGGAGAGGAAGUUGGUUAUUCUAUACGCUUUGACGAUCGAACUGGACCUGAUACGGUCAUUAAGUACAUGACAGACGGCAUGCUCCUACGGGAGAUUAUGGUAGACAAGAACCUCUCUUGUUAUUCUGUGGUCAUGCUUGAUGAGGCACAUGAGAGGACCAUCUAUACAGACAUUCUCUUUGGCUUGCUGAAGCAGCUCAUUAGGCGGAGAACUGAUCUCAAGUUAAUUGUCACUUCCGCCACUCUUGAUGCAGAGAAAUUCUCUAGAUAUUUUUUUAAUUGCAACAUUUUCACGAUUCCAGGGAGAACGUUUCCCGUGGAGAUACUAUAUGCAAAGGAGCCAGAGAGCGAUUACAUGGAUGCUGCAUUGAUCACAGUAUUGCAGAUCCAUCUGAGUCAACCCGAAGGUGAUAUCCUCUUGUUCUUGACUGGCCAGGAAGAGAUUGAUCAGGCCUGUAACUCUCUUCAUGAGAGGAUGAAGGUGCUGGGUAACGAUGUACCAGAGUUGCUAGUCAAUCCAGUUUACAGUGCUCUUCCAACUGAAAUGCAAUCAAAGAUUUUUGAACCUGCUCCUCUUGGGAAGAGGAAGGUGAUUGUGGCCACCAACAUAGCCGAAGCAUCUAUUACGAUAGAUGGGAUAUACUAUGUUGUUGAUCCAGGCUUUGCAAAACUCAAUGUGUAUAAUCCGAAACGAGGACUGGAUUCACUGGUUAUCACUCCGAUCUCACAGGCAUCAGCUAAACAAAGAGCAGGACGUGCUGGGCGUACGGGCCCAGGCAAGUGUUACCGUCUGUACACUGAGAGCGCCUAUCGUAAUGAAAUGCCCGCCACGACUAUUCCAGAAAUUCAGAGGAUUAACCUGGGGUGGACGGUUCUUAAUAUGAAGGCAAUGGGGAUAAAUGAACUAGUGUCAUUCGACUUCAUGGACCCUCCAGCACCUCAAGCGCUUAUCUCUGCUAUGGAACAGCUGUACAGCCUUGGUGCCUUGGAUGAAGAAGGCCUGCUUACCAAGCUGGGGAGAAAGAUGGCUGAGUUUCCACAAGAACCGCCACUUUCAAAAAUGCUCCUUGCUAGUGUGGACCUCGGAUGCAGUGAUGAAAUAGUGACUAUCAUUGCAAUGAUCCAAACUGGCAAUAUAUUCUACCGGCCAAGGGAAAAACAAGAUCAGGCAGAUCGGAAGAGGGGCAACUUUUUCCAGCCAGAAGGGGAUCACAUCACGUUACUCACUGUGUAUCAGGCGUGGAAGGCAAAGCAGUUUUCAGGGCCAUGGUGCUUCGAGAAUUUUCUCCAGAUAACAUCACUAAGGAGGGCACAGGAUGUGAGGAAGCAGCUCCUGGAGAUCAUGGACAGGUAUCGGCUUGACGUUGUCUCUGCCGGCAACGAUCUCACCAAGGUAAGGAGAGCCAUCGCCGCAGGCUUCUUCUUCAACUCUGCCAAGAAGGAUCCCCAGGGAGGAUACAGGACACUUGCCGAUCAUCAGCAGGUGUAUAUCCACCCAAGCAGCGCCCUCUUUCAUCAGCAGCCAGAGUGGGUGAUUUACAAUGAGAUUGUCAUGACCACAAAAGAGUACAUGAGGGAGGUGACAGCCAUCAACCCAGCGUGGCUCGUCGAGCUGGCACCGAGGUUCUACAGAUCCAUGGAUUCGACAAAGAUGAGCAAGCGGAAGCGCCAGGAGAGGAUUGAGCCUCUGUACGACAGAUACAACGAGCCCAACUCGUGGCGCCUCAGCAAGCGCCGUGGGUGA